UGUACCAUUGUCUUAGUAUCAGGAUGCCAUGUGUUCUAUGGAUUUUAUUGUAACAACUGUACAUUUACCAUGGUUCGCUUGGUUCGCAUUAAAGUAUUCUAUUUUAUUUAAAUAAGCGAUUUGAUCGAUUGUUGUUCCGGCUGUUUUUGGCCACGCAGUAAGAGUGUUGGCGUUCUUGUAUUCGCAUAAUGGCUGAUGUAGGUCUUCUUAUUGUUGUAGUAUUCAUAUUCAAUUUAUACAAGUAUAUUCUAUAUAAGCUAUUAUUCAAUUUAAACAAGUAAGUGGUGUAACUAUAUAAUGACUUUAUAAGUUUACAACAAAAAGUCUUAAAGUUAUUCAUGGAAUUUCAUUAUAUACUUACGCGAUAAAAUUAGUUGAUACACAGUCAUCUCAUCUUAAACUUAAUGGGUUUGGCACACAGGACACCCAGAGUCAGCUCAGCUUCAAAACAUGCGAAAAGGAUAACUAGUCAAUAGGCUUGUUUUAUACAAUCUAGGUUCCCAAGCCAAGUAUUCGAUUCCCCUAGACCAGAAAAUUAUGCCUUAGGCGUUGGGACUUUCUUGUGUAAGUUAUACAAUUAUGUUUAACUAUCGCGCUAACCGAAGACAAUAUUAUAUCAUAAUAACCUACUCAAUUAUUUUAAUAAUUAAUUUUAUUUUUGUGUAUUUCAGCCGUUGAAAAAUCUACUCUUAAAAUCGAAUGAAGGACAAGGCCUGCUAAAUUUAUAUUCAGAACAAGGCAAAUUAUCAAAUAAUGGUAACGAAGAAAAGUUUGCAAUAUAAUAAUAAAAGACCUAAUGCAAUCAGACCCAAAUAAAAGAAUAGACAGUUCUCUACUUCUUACAAAAGCACAAGAAAUAACUGAAGUAUUCAAAAAGGAAAAUAUAAGUACUUACUUUAUUCCAUACAUUAAUGAUACUAAACUUAAAAUAAAAAGAUGUGCAAAAGGCAAAUUAUAUGACUGUCUACAAAACAGGCGCCGCGAAUUAAGGGAGGCUAAGGUUAUUAAAAAGAAAAAUGGCAGCAACAUCAACAAUAACAGCAACGAGCCAGAAGUCGUCGAAGAAGAUGGUGGUGCAGAUGAAGAUAUCCAGUGGCUCCAAAACUGUACAGAACCCUGGCAUUUAGUGAUAGAGAAGUGGCAAAAAACUUCCAAAAAUAGAUUGAAGGAAAUAGAGACUUCAGAAAUGACCAUCGGAGCAUACAUUAAUAAAUAUCCAGUGUUAAAACGCCACGCGGGCAUGAGCUUCUUAUUGAAGAUUUAAGAAGGGCCCUAUUAGAGCCUGUUCACACUAGCAUUAAUAUCGCCGCGAGCACGCGGCGAGCAAGCUGCGAUAUCACACACAUAUAAAGUUUGCUCGCGGCGAUAUUAUUGCGAUAAAAUAAUCGCCGCGAUACCGCGACGACCCGCGGCGAGCUCGUUGCGUGCACGCCGCGAUCUCGCAUCGCCGAAAAGAAUCGCUAGUGUGAACAGGCUCUAAUAGGGCCCCAUACUUUACAAGUUGAAUGUAGAAAUGAUAAGUAUAAGGGACGUCGACGCUGAAAAGACGCCUGAACGGGUAGCAUGAUCGCGCGAAAGUGAUAAACAUCUCCCUAUCGCACUAUUAGUAAGUGCGAUAGGGACGGAUGUUUUAUCGCGCGAUCAUGCUACCAAUGCAGAUGUGAGGGGCCGUAAUGUGUAAGUGUAAUUUCUACGGACCAAUGAUUGUGAUGAUUAUAUUAAAAUAAAUGUCAUUUUUCUCUGUA